rnacentral:tRNA from 1 species
CAAAAAGUAGCUUAAAAAAAGCAUUCAGCUUACAAUUGAAAGAUGUUAGAAC